rnacentral:rRNA from 1 species
ACAGACCGCGUGGGGGAAGAAGGCUCUUGGGUUGUAAACCCCUUUUCUCUGGGAAGAAAGUUGUGAAAGCAACCUGACGGUACCAGAGGAAUCAGCAUCGGCUAACUCCGUGCCAGCAGCCGCGGUAAGACGGAGGAUGCAAGCGUUAUCCGGAAUGAUUGGGCGUAAAGCGUCCGCAGGUGGCAGUUCAAGUCUGCUGUCAAAGACCGGGGCUUAACUUCGGAAAGGCAGUGGAAACUGAACAGCUAGAGUAUGGUAGGGGCAGAGGGAAUUCCUGGUGUAGCGGUGAAAUGCGUAGAGAUCAGGAAGAACAUCGGUGGCGAAGGCGCUCUGCUGGACCAUAACUGACACUCAGGGACGAAAGCUAGGGGAGCGAAUGGGAUUAGAUACCCCAGUAGUCA